rnacentral:lncRNA from 1 species
UGACUUCUGUUUUAUUUUAAUUAAUUUACGUACCAAUUUUCAUUAUUUUUAAAAUAUUUUUGGGGGAUGAUGAUGUCCUGACCCCACCUUUUUUAGUUUAAUUUUUGAUGAUUUUCUUGAUUAAUUUACUAUUUAUUCUUGAUUUAUUUCUAACCUAGUCUCAUUAAUUAACUUUUGGUUUGACCCCGGUUUUAUUUUAAUUAAUUUAUG